GCAGCGGCUAACCGACACAUGCAAGUCGAGCGCACCUUUCGGGGUGAGCGGCGGACGGGUGAGUAACACGUGGGAACGUACCCUUCUCUGCGGGAUAGCCACUGGAAACGGUGAGUAAUACCGCAUACGCCCUUCGGGGGAAAGAUUUAUCGGGGAAGGAUCGGCCCGCGUCUGAUUAGGUAGUUGGUGGGGUAACGGCCUACCAAGCCUACGAUCAGUAGCUGGUUUGAGAGGAUGACCAGCCACACUGGGACUGAGACACGGCCCAGACUCCUACGGGAGGCAGCAGUGGGGAAUCUUAGACAAUGGGGGCAACCCUGAUCUAGCCAUGCCGCGUGAGUGACGAAGGCCUUAGGGUCGUAAAGCUCUUUCGCCGGGGAAGAUAAUGACUGUACCCGGUAAAGAAGUCCCGGCUAACUCCGUGCCAGCAGCCGCGGUAAUACGGAGGGGACUAGCGUUGUUCGGAAUUACUGGGCGUAAAGCGCGCGUAGGCGGACUAUUAAGUCAGGGGUGAAAUCCCGGGGCUCAACCCCGGAACUGCCCUUGAUACUGGUAGUCUGGAGUUCUGGAGAGGUGAGUGGAAUUCCGAGUGUAGAGGUG
rnacentral:rRNA from 1 species